rnacentral:rRNA from 1 species
AAAUUGAAGAGUUUGAUCAUGGCUCAGAUUGAACGCUGGCGGCAGGCCUAACACAUGCAAGUCGAGCGGUAGCACAGAGAGCUUGCUCUCGGGUGACGAGCGGCGGACGGGUGAGUAAUGUCUGGGAAACUGCCUGAUGGAGGGGGAUAACUACUGGAAACGGUAGCUAAUACCGCAUAAUGUCGCAAGACCAAAGUGGGGGACCUUCGGGCCUCAUGCCAUCAGAUGUGCCCAGAUGGGAUUAGCUAGUAGGUGGGGUAACGGCUCACCUAGGCGACGAUCCCUAGCUGGUCUGAGAGGAUGACCAGCCACACUGGAACUGAGACACGGUCCAGACUCCUACGGGAGGCAGCAGUGGGGAAUAUUGCACAAUGGGCGCAAGCCUGAUGCAGCCAUGCCGCGUGUGUGAAGAAGGCCUUCGGGUUGUAAAGCACUUUCAGCGGGGAGGAAGGCGGUGAGAUUAAUAACCUCAUCGAUUGACGUUACCCGCAGAAGAAGCACCGGCUAACUCCGUGCCAGCAGCCGCGGUAAUACGGAGGGUGCAAGCGUUAAUCGGAAUUACUGGGCGUAAAGCGCACGCAGGCGGUCUGUCAAGUCGGAUGUGAAAUCCCCGGGCUCAACCUGGGAACUGCAUUCGAAACUGGCAGGCUAGAGUCUUGUAGAGGGGGGUAGAAUUCCAGGUGUAGCGGUGAAAUGCGUAGAGAUCUGGAGGAAUACCGGUGGCGAAGGCGGCCCCCUGGACAAAGACUGACGCUCAGGUGCGAAAGCGUGGGGAGCAAACAGGAUUAGAUACCCUGGUAGUCCACGCCGUAAACGAUGUCGAUUUGGAGGUUGUGCCCUUGAGGCGUGGCUUCCGGAGCUAACGCGUUAAAUCGACCGCCUGGGGAGUACGGCCGCAAGGUUAAAACUCAAAUGAAUUGACGGGGGCCCGCACAAGCGGUGGAGCAUGUGGUUUAAUUCGAUGCAACGCGAAGAACCUUACCUGGUCUUGACAUCCACAGAACUUUCCAGAGAUGGAUUGGUGCCUUCGGGAACUGUGAGACAGGUGCUGCAUGGCUGUCGUCAGCUCGUGUUGUGAAAUGUUGGGUUAAGUCCCGCAACGAGCGCAACCCUUAUCCUUUGUUGCCAGCGGUUCGGCCGGGAACUCAAAGGAGACUGCCAGUGAUAAACUGGAGGAAGGUGGGGAUGACGUCAAGUCAUCAUGGCCCUUACGACCAGGGCUACACACGUGCUACAAUGGCAUAUACAAAGAGAAGCGACCUCGCGAGAGCAAGCGGACCUCAUAAAGUAUGUCGUAGUCCGGAUUGGAGUCUGCAACUCGACUCCAUGAAGUCGGAAUCGCUAGUAAUCGUAGAUCAGAAUGCUACGGUGAAUACGUUCCCGGGCCUUGUACACACCGCCCGUCACACCAUGGGAGUGGGUUGCAAAAGAAGUAGGUAGCUUAACCUUCGGGAGGGCGCUUACCACUUUGUGAUUCAUGACUGGGGUGAAGUCGUAACAAGGUAACCGUAGGGGAACCUGCGGUUGGAUCACCUCCUUACCUUAAAGAA